rnacentral:rRNA from 1 species
UACGUAGGUGGCAAGCGUUAUCCGGAAUUAUUGGGCGUAAAGCGCGCGCAGGCGGUUAUGUAAGUCUGAUGUUAAAGCCCGGGGCUCAACCUCGGUUCGCAUUGGAAACUGUGUAACUUGAGUGCAGAAGAGGAAAGUGGUAUUCCAAGUGUAGCGGUGAAAUGCGUAGAUAUGUGGAGGAACACCAGUGGCGAAGGCGACUUUCUGGUCUGUAACUGACGCUGAGGCGAGAAAGCGUGGGGAGCAAACAGG